rnacentral:rRNA from 1 species
CCUACGGGAGGCAGCAGUAGGGAAUCUUUCACAAUGGGCGAAAGCCUGAUGGAGCAACGCCGCGUGCAGGAUGAAGGCCUUCGGGUUGUAAACUGCUUUUAUAAGCGAGAAAUAUGAUGUUAACUUAUGAUUAAGGAUCGGCUAACUACGUGCCAGCAGCCGCGGUCAUACGUAGGAUCCGAGCAUUAUCCGGAGUGACUGGGUGUAAAGAGUUGCGUAGGUGGCAUAAUAAGUAGCUAGGGAAAUCUGGUGGCUCAACCAAUCAGACUAUUAGCUAAACUGGUGAGCUCGAGACCGUUAGGGGUAAGUGGAAUUUCUAGUGUAGGGGUGAAAUCCGUAGAUAUAAGAAGGAACACCAAUGGCGAAGGCAGGUUGCUGGGACGGUUCUGACACUAAGGCACGAAAGCGUAGGGAGCAAACGGGAUUAGAUACCCUGGUAGUC